rnacentral:misc_RNA from 1 species
GAUGAAGAACGUAGCGAAAUGCGAUAAGUAAUGUGAAUUGCAGAAUUCAGUGAAUCAUCGAAUCUUUGAACGCACAUUGCGCCCGCCAGCAUUCUGGCGGGCAUGCCUGUCCGAGCGUCAUUUCAACCAUCAGGGUCCCUCCGCCUCGCGCGGUCGGAGCCUGGUGUUGGGGAUCGGCCCGCCCCGCGCGGCGCCGUCCCCCAAAUACAGUGGCGGUCCCGCCGCAGCCUCCCCUGCGCAGUAGUUAUCAACUCGCACUGGAGCGCGGCGCGGCCACGCCGUAAAACCCCGACUUUUAGAAAGUUGACCUCGGAUCAGGUAGGAAUACCCGCUGAACUUAAGCAUAUCAAUAAGCGGAGGA